UACAUAUCAAUACAUACAGAAACUAUCUAGGUCAAAUAGGGGAGAGGUGUUGCUUUAUCUGUUGUUUAAACCAGGUUUGCUGUUUAUUUGAGAAAUAUGAGAUGGAAUGGAGUUCCAUGCAAUAAUGGCUCUAUAUAAAACUACGCUUUCUUGCAUUUAUUCUGGAUUUAGGGACUGUGAAAAGACUGGUGGUCCUGGUGGCAUGUCUGGUGGGCUCUCAACCACACAGCUGGACAAUAAUCAAGAGAAGACUAGAGCCUGCAGGACUUGUUUUUUGGAGUGUGGUGUCAAAAAAGCAGAGCAUCUCUUUAUUACAGACAGACCUCUCCUAAAUCUUUACAACCAUUGAAUCGUUAUGUUUUGACCAUGACAGUUUACAAUCUAAGGUAACACCAAGUAAUUUAGUCUCCUCAACUUGUUCAACAGCCACACCAGUCAAUACCAGAUUCAGCUGAGGUCUAGAAUGCCUCAAUAGAGUGAUUAUUGGACGACACUACAACUCCUCAUAACAGAUACGUGUAUCACCUCAAAUAUAACGACUCAUACUACAUUCGGUUACAUUCUACUAUUGUUUACAUAUUGUGCGUCAUGUUCAAUGGGCCAAGAGAAUGAAAAUACAAGCGACAGAACCUAGCAACACUUUCCUGUGGAUAUCUCCAACUCCUACCGCCAAAAGGACCAGCAGCAUGUACAACCGGUAAAGUAAGUGUAAAUACCAUUUUAUUCCACAUUCUGUCUUGUAGAGACUGUCUUUUUUAGUGCGACUUCAGUCAGACAGAAAAUCCAUGGAGUAACCAUGAUAACAGUCUGAUGUUUAGGCAAGCCCCAAGACAGAGCCUCUCCAACCCUAAGUUGUCCAACCAUCCCUACUUCACCCUGGAGAGACUGGGGCCUGUGCUUAGACCGCUGGCAGGUGGAGGUACAGUCAGAGGCCUGAACAGCGACUCCGUCAACUCUCUAUCGGUUUCUUGCUUGUAGUCUUGUUUUAUUCUCGCUCUGAACUGCUGCUACUUCAUGUAGUAGGUGUAUGGAUGCUCCGUUUGUGUAACGGCAUUGUUGUCAUCUCCUCUUUCUCUAAUGUUUAUCUUCACUGAUACGCAAGUAUUUUAAAGUGUGCCCGACAACUGAUGUAAAAGGGCUUUAUAAAUACAUUUGAUUGUAUGCAAGGGUUUAUACUGCAUGUAUUGGUUAUCUAAUCUUUCUCACUGGUAGGGUUCUGUUUUUUUCCCAGAUGGUUUCACUACGACAGGUGAUGAUACCAGGCAAGUAAUACGCCAGUCAUCUGACGAUUUCACUGUCAAUAUUUUUACUUUUCUUCUGACCAACACGUUCCUCGCCUUUCCCACCUUCCCCCGUUCUCCCCCAGUGGACAGUGUGGGACUUGAGUUUAAUCAGUCGUCUGUGGUGGAUCGUGGACUUGUGCAACCUGUGGUUAUACUGGACCUCGCUGAGGUGCACUGGGGCCAGGCUGAAGAUCUAGGAUGAUCCGAGUCCAGUAUUAGCAGGAGAGGAGAUAAGCAGAUUCCACUCUAUACUGGCUCACUUCUGAGUGGCUCUGUCUGUCGGCGCACUACAGAUAUGCACCUUCUGACGGUCUGCAUGGGAAUCAGUUUUGCCUUUUCACUUCUCACAAACAAAACAUCUGCCAAAUCAAUAUCCACAAUAAUCAAAAUAAGAGAUGGACGGAUGGGAAUAGCAAAAGGAGACUUUGACCUGACCUGAUCCUCGGCCAAAGAACUUAUAGAUUUGCGCUGCUUUUAAAUUAUGACAAGUAACGGGGACUCCAAAUGAUGAUGGAUCACUGUUCGUUUGUUGUUCUAAUGAUAAUAUACACAGUUUGCAUUGAUACAAUUUCAGUUGCUGCCCUUUGAAAUGUUGCUUGAGUACUAAUAUUGUAAUAAAAAAAAGUUUCAAGACACUCUUGAGCCUGGUCAAAGUAGUGCACGAAAUAGGGAAUAGAGUGCCAUCACUAACGGCUUCAUUAGACAAAACAAAUAUUUGUUAUUCAUUACUUCGUCUGCAGUGACUUCAGGCAGAUCAAACAACUGGUUUCAUCAUUAUAGGUGGUUUGUAGUUCAGGUGCAACAGUUUUCCAGCUAAAGAAACAACUAGCUACAAAAUAAAAAGCUAAAAUCUCAUCGACCCAAAAUUGGUAAAAAAAUAAUGAUAAAUAAGAUGAACAAAAUAAAAAAUGUAUGUGCCUUUGAGUGAGGGAAACAGUGGACAUCAUCAUCUCUGUAGAUGUUAUGGAUAAUCUACCUUGACUGCCACGUACAAAACCCCCUAAAACCUUUAUAAAAAAGAAAACAAGAGACGUCUUUACCUAUUCAACAUACCACAGAUAAUAGAAUGACAUCUGUCUUUACACUAAGUGGUAGGAUACAUCCAUAGUGAGAGAUAGAGGACUUUAGUGCCUAAAAGCCCAUUUUAUCAUGGGCAGUGCCAUUGAGGACUUUUACCAUUUUGAAGUAGUCAACUGGGUGGGACUUCCUAUGGGUUAAGGAAGGAUCACAUAAUUCCAUCCAGGUCACCAGGAGGGAUCAGCCAAUGAAGUAUACGCAUGAGCAAACAUUCCAGAACUGCAGGUAAACUGCAGGUAAAUUGCCAACCUUGGCUUUAAACCUGUUUAAACCUGUUCAUACACACUCCAGCUGUCAAUAUACACCCUUUCAGUUUGUUUGCCAACUCAUGGUAGAAGAAAAUUGACUACUUCAAAAUGGAGAUGGACUCAAUGGGCUGCCCAUGCCCUCACAGAUGCCAUAAUGGGACAGAUACAAUGAUGCGAUGUCUAUCUAAGACUAUGGAUUAAACUAGUUAAG